GCUGACCCACGCCCUGAAGAAGAUGCUUAUCCGGGGCCACGUGGAGGAAUUUCCGGCUGCUCGUCAGCUGAAGGUGAAGGGGGGGAGCAAGGAACAUUUGAGAUCUCUCCUAUUAGGUUCCACUGGACAUUAAUUCGAAGGGGCUGGACAAGAAACUGACAGCCUGGAAAAGGUUAUCAACAAGCCUGACGGUGAUCAAGGAAUUCAUCCAAAGGGGAUGAAGAGAAUCAUAACACAAGUACACAGCAGAAGGCUUGCAAAUUUGAUGCCUUAAGUUCAAUAAAG